UCUCAGCAUGUGUGCCUGCCUACUGGCUCCCCUGUCUAUGCCUGAUUCGGAAUUACCCCUCUGAGCUAAAACACAGCAUCUCAUCCUAGACCUAGAAUAGAAAUGAUUACAUUCCAAGAGUGUUGGAGGGUGUAACGGUCGUCAUCGGUGGAAGAAGAAGAGGACCGAGGUCCAGCGUGUGACACUGACUCCGAAUGGGAGCCCCCAGUGCCAAGGUGUCCAUCCCCCACUGAAGCUGGUUCAUCCAGCUCCUGCCACAAGUGGUGUUCAUCUGCCCAAAUGUAUUUCUGCAGGCAUGGAUGUGCCUCAGGGCCAAAAGGGCACAGCAUGGAGGCGUCGCUGUGUUCUUUGCUAAAUGAAGUACCCCAUCACCUGCACCAAAUGCUUGGUGACCCUCUGCUUUACAGCAGAAAGAGACUGCUAUAACACCUGGCAUCAGCAGCACAAUAUUGUGUAGAGGACUGAGGGUCUUCCAAAUAUUGAAAGUGUUAUUUUGUAAAUGUAUAUAUAUUUUUUCAUGUUUUUUUCUCAUUGUUUUGGGGGGGGGGUGUUAGAAUACCAUUUUGGUAUUUUGUAUAUAGUUAUUCCAUUCAAAAUGUAUAACUUCACCAAUUUGGUACAUUGGGCUACUUGUGUGGGACACCUGGGUGACUUCAUGAUAAAUGUCAUGUAGCACACUCAUUUUGGAAGUUAUCAUUCUGAAACUUUGCACAAGUACUGUUGCCCUCUUAUGUCUUUCACUGAAAUUGUCCCCAUCAUCCUAUCUGAAUGUUUGUUUUGUCUUGUUCAUUUUAAAGAUGAUGAUACAACAAUACAAAUAGAAAAAACAUGUUUUUUUCAUUGUAUUAUCUAAACCAGAUCAAUUGUGUUAUAUUCUCCUACAUUCAAUUCACAUUUACACAAACGUCAGAGUGUUUUCUUUCAAAUGAAACCAAGAAUAUGCAUAUCCUUGGUCCUGGGCCUUAGCUACAGGCAGUUAGAUUUGGGUAUGUCUUCAGGCGGAAAUUGAAAAAAGUAGGGGGGUAGCUGUAAGAGGUUUUAACAUCAUUUGUAUAGACUGGCCAACUGACAAAUCUACAUGAGAAACAAGUUAUCACUAUUUUUUUUGGUUAACUACUACACUUGUCUUUCGAUUUCAGAGGAGACAUGCGGUCAUAUCUCAAAAAGUGAAGGAGAUAAAUGGUGACAAAGCUCUUAAAAGUCACUAAAAGUGCGUCUUCGUGGUAAAUUUACAAGAGUGAUGGUUCCUCGAGUCAGGAAAAAAAGACUUAUGAUCUGUGUUGUUGCCGAAUGUAGUGGGUUUCUAAUGGCUUUGAUGGCUAAAACACAUGUUAGAACAAAGCGUCUGUUCAGGCUGGUUCAGGCUUGGUCAGUGUGACCACGGCACACAUGGUACUUCUCUCUCCCAUUUGUCCUACAGCUCAUUUUCCGUGCAGCACUGGGUUGAUUCCCAAUACUUUUACAUGGCUCCCUUGUCAUUGUCUACUUUCCUUGCUUUCCUUCCUCUCCUCUUGUGCUCAUUUUCAUCAGCGGCCCACUGGCCACACACUGGUUAAAUCAAUGUUGUUUCAAUGUAAUUUCAAUGAAAUUACAUCAAACCAAUGUGGAAUAGACAUUGAGUUGACAUCUGUGCCCAGUGGGUGGGCUGUCUCUGGCUGGCUCCUAACAUGUUUGCAUGGUUCACUUUUCCCUUGUCUCAUUUCCUCUCUUUGCUUUCCUUCCUUCCCUUCCUCUUUGUUAGGUGAAAGGGAUUGACAGGUUUCAAUGUUUUCAAAACUUUUCAGAUCAUUGGUGGUGAAAGGGAAUGUAGGGAAGAAGUUGAGUAAAGGAAAGUGAAAUCUACAGAGACGACGUAGUGUUAGUAUUUUCGGCUCGGCUAGCUUAGCCUAGUGUCUGUUCUUCUGCAGAUGCAGUUGUGCUGCCGUGUCUGUGUAAGUGUCUGUGUGUGUCUGUGUGUGUGCCUGUGUGUGUGUGUGCCUGUGUGUCCAUGCAUGACACACAGGCACAGAAUGUCCCUCUCCCCACAGGUGUGAUUACUACCUCUAAGAGUUUAGAGCUUGAGGUAGUCACCUAAGACACGUACUUGGGAGUAUGACUAGACGGUACACUGUCCUUCUCUCAGCACAUAUCAAAGCUGCAGGCUAAAGUUAAAUCUACACUUGGUUUCCUCUAUCGUAAUUGCUCCGCUUUCACCCCAGCUGCCAAACUAACCCUGAUUCAGAUGACCAUCCUACCCAUGCUAGAUUGCGGAGACAUCAUUUAUAGAUCGGCAGGUAAGGUUGCUCUCGAGCGGCUAGAUGUUCUUUACCAUUCGGCCAUUAGAUUUGCCACCAAUGUUCCUUAUAGGACACAUCACUGCACUCUACACUCCUCUGUAAACUGGUCAUCUCUGUAUACCCGUCGCAAGACCAUGUUGUGUUGCUACCAUGCUGUAUUGUCAUGUGUGGCUGCUGUGCUAUGUUGUUUCCUUAGGUCUCUCUUUAUGUAGUAUUGUGGUGUCUCUUUUGUUGUGAUGUGUUUUUUGUCCUAUAUAUAUUUUUUUAUCCCAGCUCCCGUCACCACAGGAGGCCUUUUGUCUUUUGGCAGGCCGUCAUUGUAAAUAAGAAUUUGUUCUAAACUGACUUGCCUAGUUAAAUAAAGGUUAAAUAAAUAAAUAACAUGA